GUCAUCAGAACUCCUGAGACGGAAUUAUAAGGUCCAUCAUUCAAACUGUGCUCUUUAAAGAUAUUUGAUAUAAUACAUGGAGCCAAAAGAAUACAGAGAGGCAGAAACAGCCCACCAGGCUCUUGGGCCAGCCAUAUACUGUUCUGACCACCACGAGCCUGUAGCCAAGACUGGGAACAAACCAGGACCUCUGCUGGCCGAGAAUUUUCUUUUCUCUUAGAAGGGCACAGGGCCACGUUGCCAGCCUGUUGUAAACUACUGACAUUGAUUUAAACGAGCCAAGGCUCUGGCUCCAAGCCUACUGUGCUAGGAUAGCAUUUACCUGCAGCUGAUGGCUGUGGAGGUUGAACAACAUUGAUUGCUUUGUACGUUCUGGCCCAUUAGAUGUUAUUUAAAAUACUGAUGUAUCAGAGAACAGAACAAUCUAUAAGAUUAGCGACAGCAGAUGACUUUUCUCACUCGUGAACGUUGUUUGUUUGACUUUAGUGCUUACCAAAAGUUGUCUUCAGCAACUAGCAAAUGUGUAGGGCUUUUUUUUUUUUUUUUUUGAGAGCCUGAUGCAUUUGCAGCUAUUUGUUUCUUUGUUCAUUCAACAACACGAAAGACAUAAAAUUGUUCUUGAGGACUCUCUUUCCUAUUUGAUUGCAAAAAAGUCCGUGGUGGGAAAUCACAAUAGGAAUGCCAAAUCAGCACUGCCUGGGACAGAUGAAAUGGUCAGUUUCUCUAAAAAUCUACACUGCAGGAUGAUGAAUUGCUGUGGUUAAUUAAUAGUUUACUGAUUGCGUAUUUAGCAACCAAGCAAGAUCUAUACCAAUAUGAAACAUGACAUACUCUAACUAGAAAAUAAAAUAAUGGAAAGAAAGGAUAUGAAGCAAUGUAUUUCAUGAAGACAGCACUCAAAGCUCUCUAGCAUCAGUGCAAUGGGCAAUAUCUCAGCAGCAUCAUGGCAGCGGUAGUUUUACAAAUGGCAGAAGUGCAGAUAGGGUAUUGAUGACAAUGAGACUACCAGUGGACACUCACACUUUACAUAAGGAAUAAGUGGCCAUGUGUGCAGGGUGAGACCUUUGUCCAUGUCAUCAUACAGCACAGGCUUUGGGAUCAUUCUUAAAGAGACCCAAAUUGUUGUAAGACAACCUGAUGUCAGCAAGAUAAAAAGCAGAAUUACAGCCCAGGAAUUAGGACAGCAGACUCUGGCCUUUUCAAGAAUCUACUUGGAAGAACUGCAGGGAUACAGUUCUGGAGAGAAGAAGAGUCUAGGAAACCUGGAUGAUUUGUAAGGAUCCAGAACCCCUCCUCCAAGGUCAAGAGUGGUCCAUCUUGAUAAGCACUAAAUUGAGCAAAGGCAGCAGGAGGCCUGCAUAGAUGAACAUGGAGUUCCUAACAGGAAAAAAAAAAAAUAAAAGAGAGAGAGAGAAAAGAAAAAAUAAGA